UACGUAGGGGGCUAGCGUUGCUCGGGAUCACUGGGCGUAAAGGGUGCGUAGGCGGUUCUUUAAGUCAGGGGUGAAAUCCUGGAGCUCAACUCCAGAACUGCCUUUGAUACUGAGGAUCUUGAGUUCGGGAGAGGUGAGUGGAACUGCGAGUGUAGAGGUGAAAUUCGUAGAUAUUCGCAAGAACACCAGUGGCGAAGGCGGCUCACUGGCCCGAUACUGACGCUGAGGCACGAAAGCGUGGGGAGCAAACAGG
rnacentral:rRNA from 1 species